rnacentral:rRNA from 1 species
UACGUAGGGGGCAAGCGUUGUCCGGAUUCAUUGGGCGUAAAGAGCGUGUAGGCGGCCAGGUAGGUCGGUUGUGAAAACUGGAGGCUCAACCUUCAGAGGUCGACCGAAACCAUCUGGCUAGAGUCCGGGAGAGGAGAGUGGAAUUCCUGGUGUAGCGGUGAAAUGCGUAGAUAUCUGGAGGAACACCGGUGGCGAAGGCGGCAUCCUGGACCGGCACUGACGCUGAUGAGCGAAAGCCAGGGGAGCAAACGGG